AUGAACGCUGGCGGCGUGCCUAAUACAUGCAAGUCGAGCGAACAGACGAGGAGCUUGCUCCUCUGACGUUAGCGGCGGACGGGUGAGUAACACGUGGAUAACCUACCUAUAAGACUGGGAUAACUUCGGGAAACCGGAGCUAAUACCGGAUAAUAUAUUGAACCGCAUGGUUCAAUAGUGAAAGACGGUUUUGCUGUCACUUAUAGAUGGAUCCGCGCCGCAUUAGCUAGUUGGUAAGGUAACGGCUUACCAAGGCGACGAUGCGUAGCCGACCUGAGAGGGUGAUCGGCCACACUGGAACUGAGACACGGUCCAGACUCCUACGGGAGGCAGCAGUAGGGAAUCUUCCGCAAUGGGCGAAAGCCUGACGGAGCAACACCGCGUGAGUGAUGAAGGUCUUCGGAUCGUAAAACUCUGUUAUUAGGGAAGAACAAAUGUGUAAGUAACUAUGCACGUCUUGACGGUACCUAAUCAGAAAGCCACGGCUAACUACGUG
rnacentral:rRNA from 1 species